UGUUAGUGAGUAAUGUAAAAGUGUAUUUAUCCAUGUGUGAGAGAGAGAGAGAGAAAACUAAAGUUUUAAGUGCCCGUCGGCACAUGCCGUAUUCACCGUGCCGUACCGUGCCAACAAGAUACCGACACGAUACAGACCCCGUACCGAGGACACAGCUAAAAACUCCUAUUCUUUAAAUUAGUAAAUAAUUUUUUCUAUAAAGUUUAAAAGAUGUGAUAAAAAGACAUGAUAAAUAGUUAAAAUAGUUUAUUGCUAAAGAAAAAUAAAUAUUUCAUGCUAUUAUGUGUUGGCAUAUAAGAUUUUUUUUUACCAGCACAUAUCGGCACGGCUUGGCACGCACCGUACUGUACCGUGCCGGUAAGUUUUCGGCACGAUCCCGUGCCACAGCACUUAAAUCCUUGGAGAAAACAUAUUCAUUCGAGAGAGAGAGAGAGAGAGAGAGAGAGAAAAGAAUAU
rnacentral:lncRNA from 1 species